UAUUCUAAGGCGCUCGGGUGAGCCGUGGAGAAGGAACUAGGCAAAUUGACGCUGUAACUUCGGGAUAAAGCGUACCAUCUUCGGAUGGUCUCAGUAAAAUGGUUCAACCAACUGUUUAGCAAAAACACAGGGCCCUGCAAAAUCGUAAGAUGACGUAUAGAGCCUGAUACCUGCCCGGUGCUGGAAGGUUAAGGAAGGAUGUUCGGCGCAAGCCAAAGCUUCUGACUGAAGCCCCAGUAAACGGCGGCCGUAACUAUAACGGUCCUAAGGUAGCGAAAUUCCUUGUCGGGUAAGUUCCGACCUGCACGAAUGGUCUAAUGAGUUGAACACUGUCUCCUCCACGAGCCCGGUGAAAUUGUAGUAUCGGUGAAGAUGCCGGUUACCCGUCACGGGACGGAAAGACCCCAUGAACCUUCACUACAACUUUGCAUUGAUUUUGAAUUUUUGAUGUGUAGGAUAGUUGGGAGACUUUGAAGCUGUGUCGCUAGGCAUGGUGGAGUCGUCGUUGAAAUACCAACCUUUAAACAUUUAGAAUCUAAUCCCUUUCGGGAAACAGUGCAUGGUGGGUAGUUUGACUGGGGUGGUCGCCUCCUAAAGUGUAACGGAGGCUUGCAAAGGUUCCCUCAGUACGGUUGGUAAUCGUACAUAGAGCGUAUUAGUAUAAGGGAGCUUGACUGUGAGACUUACAAGUCGAGCAGGGACGAAAGUCGGCUAAAGUGAUCCGGCGGUUCUGUAUGGAAGGGCCGUCGCUCAAAGGAUAAAAGGUACUCUGGGGAUAACAGGCUGAUCUCCCCCAAGAGCUCAUAUCGACGGGGAGGUUUGGCACCUCGAUGUCGGUUCGUCACAUCCUGGGGCUGGAGAAGGUCCCAAGGGUUCGGCUGUUCGCCGAUUAAAGUGGCACGUGAACUGGGUUCAGAACGUCGCAAGACAGUUCGGUCCCUAUCUGUGAUGGGCGCUAGUAAAUUGAGAGGACAUGACCUUAGUACGAGAGGACCGGGUCGUAUGUGCCGCUGGUGUAUCUGUUGUGCCGCCAGGUGCAAUGCAGAGUAGCUACGCACAGCCAGGAUAAACGCUGAAAGCAUCUAAGCGUGAAACCUUCCUUAAGAUGAGUUUACUUUUAAGGGUCGUCAAAGACUAUGACGUUGAUAGGCUACAGGUAUAAGGGUGGUAACAUCGAAGCCGAGUAGUACUAAUUGCCCGUAAGCUUUAUUUU
rnacentral:rRNA from 1 species